rnacentral:rRNA from 1 species
AGUGAACGCUGGCGGUAGGCCUAACACAUGCAAGUCGAACGGCAGCACAGUAAGAGCUUGCUCUUACGGGUGGCGAGUGGCGGACGGGUGAGGAAUACAUCGGAAUCUACUUUUUCGUGGGGGAUAACGUAGGGAAACUUACGCUAAUACCGCAUACGAUCUACGGGUGAAAGCAGGGGAUCUUCGGACCUUGCGCGAUUGAAUGAGCCGAUGUCGGAUUAGCUAGUUGGCGGGGUAAAGGCCCACCAAGGCGACGAUCCGUAGCUGGUCUGAGAGGAUGAUCAGCCACACUGGAACUGAGACACGGUCCAGACUCCUACGGGAGGCAGCAGUGGGGAAUAUUAGACAAUGGGCGCAAGCCUGAUCCAGCCAUACCGCGUGGGUGAAGAAGGCCUUCGGGUUGUAAAGCCCUUUUGUUGGGAAAGAAAAGCAGCAGGUUAAUACCCCGCUGUUCUGACGGUACCCAAAGAAUAAGCACCGGCUAACUUCGUG